AGCCGCCGCUGCACGGGCUCGUAUCGCCAAAGCAGUGGUGUCUCCCUUAGGCUGAAGGCCCAGGAUGGGGUGGCUGAAGAAUGAAAACAAAUGAAAAAUAACGCUGAAAUCCUCAUCCUACCUUGAAACGGACUGGGAAGGGAUGAAGAAUCCUUGUCCAUUUGCCUCUCCCAAAUGCAGCAUCGUGGGCUCUGUCUCCCAAACAGCUUUUUGGAAAUCGUCUCUCCAGGCGUAUGGAAUCAAUGGAAGGAGGGAGUCCCAGCCCCAAGAGGCCCUGACCGAGCACCGGGCUGCCCUGUGGACGUGACGCUUCUGCCAAUCCCAGGGUCAGCUUUCAGCCACCACCUGCUGGGCUGUUCACAAAGCACCUCUCCUCCGCAGAUAUGGGUCGCCUGCUGUGACUCUCACCCCUCUGCACACUCAGGAACACUAACGUGUCACCACGAGAAAGCUGAAGGCGCAGCGGCAGUCCUUUGAAUCAUCAUAAAAGUACAGUUUUAAAGUUUUUUUUUUUAAUAGAAAAGUAUUUAAAAGCUAAGAAAAUAAACCAAGUGAAGACAUAAUUGGUCA
ensembl:lncRNA